UACAGGGGGGGCAAGCGUUGUUCGGAAUUACUGGGCGUAAAGGGCUCGUAGGCGGCCAACUAAGUCAGACGUGAAAUCCCCCGGCUUAACCGGGGAACUGCGUCUGAUACUGGAUGGCUUGAGUUUGGGAGAGGGAUGCGGAAUUCCAGGUGUAGCGGUGAAAUGCGGUAGAUAUCUGGAGGAACACCGGUGGCGAAGGCGGCAUCCUGGA
rnacentral:rRNA from 1 species